rnacentral:rRNA from 1 species
AUGCUCCGGCUCCGUCGCGGCGUCCUCGCCCAGCUCCUCUCUUCUCCCUCCGUCUCUCCUCUACACCGCCUCCUCUCCGCCGCCGCGCCCGCUGCCCCCUGCAUUUCCCCAAACCCUAGCUUCGCCGUGGAGGACUACCUCGUCCGUACCUGCGGCCUCACCCGACCCCAGGCCCUCAAGGCCUCCGCCAAGCUCUCCCACCUCAAGUCCCGCGCCAAGCCCGACGCCGUGCUCUCUUUCCUCGCCGGCCUCGGCCUCUCCACCGCCGACGUCGCCUCCGUCGUCGCCAAAGACCCGCUGUUCCUCUGCGCCAAAGUGGACAAAACCCUGGCCCCCAAUGUCGCGGAGCUCACUGGCCUCGGCCUCUCGCCUUCUGAGGUCGCACGCCUCGUCUCGCUUGGCCCCGACAGAUUCCGCUGCAGAUCCAUCGUCUCCACGCUGGAGUACUGCUUGCCCCUCUUCGGCUCCUACGACAACCUCCUUCGAGCCCUACCUCGAGCGGGUGGCUCCAUUCUCGGGUCCGACCUCGACCGGGUGGUCAAGCCCAAUGUCACCUUCCUGCACGAGUGCGGGCUAGCUGCUUGUGAUAUUGCCAGGCUCUGCAUACAUACGCCAUUGCUGCUCAACAUCAGCACCGAACGCAUCCGGACAGCAGUGGCAUGUGUCGAAGGUCUUCUUGGUGUACCCCGUGGAUCUCUGAUGUUCAAGCAUGCGCUACAAGCUGUUGCAUUCCUCAGCGAGGACAAAAUCACUGCCAAAGUGGAGCUCUUGAAGAAAACAUUCACGUGGACGGAUGCUGAGGUGGGCAUUGCUGUUUCUAGGGCUCCAUCGUUGCUGAAGAGGUCCGAGGACUCGCUGCAGCGCAUGUCCGAGUUCCUCAUCUCCGAGGUGGGUUUGGAACCGGCAUACAUUGCUCAUCGGCCGACACUGCUCACUUUCAGCCUGAAGGGCCGGCUAAGAGCCCGACACUAUGUUGUAAAGUUUCUUAAGGAAAAUGGAUUGCUAAGUCGCAAUCGGGAUUACUAUUACGCAGUCAAAAUUACCGGGAAGGAAUUUGUGGAGAAGUUCAUAUGCCCUCACAAGGAAGCUGCACCACACCUCGCUAAAGAUUAUGCGGCAGCCUGCAAAGAUGAAGUGCCGACUAGAUUCAGAUUUACAUGA